UGGGGAAUUUUGGACAAUGGGCGAAAGCCUGAUCCAGCAAUGCCGCGUGUGUGAAGAAGGCCUUCGGGUUGUAAAGCACUUUUGUCCGGAAAGAAAUCCUUGGCUCUAAUACAGUCGGGGGAUGACGGUACCGGAAGAAUAAGCACCGGCUAACUACGUGCCAGCAGCCGCGGUAAUACGUAGGGUGCAAGCGUUAAUCGGAAUUACUGGGCGUAAAGCGUGCGCAGGCGGUUUGCUAAGACCGAUGUGAAAUCCCCGGGCUCAACCUGGGAACUGCAUUGGUGACUGGCAGGCUAGAGUAUGGCAGAGGGGGGUAGAAUUCCACGUGUAGCAGUGAAAUGCGUAGAGAUGUGGAGGAAUACCGAUGGCGAAGGCAGCCCCUGGGCCAAUACUGACGCUCAUGCACGAAAGCGUGGGGAGCAAACAGGAUUAGAUACCCUGGUAGUCCACGCCCUAAACGAUGUCAACUAGUUGUUGGGGAUUCAUUUCCUUAGUAACGUAGCUAACGCGUGAAGUUGACCGCCUGGGGAGUACGGUCGCAAGAUUAAAACUCAAGGAAUUGACGGGGUCAUAGCUGUUUCCU
rnacentral:rRNA from 1 species